rnacentral:misc_RNA from 1 species
UGAACAAGAUUUGUUCUGGGAAGAUGGGGAGCUUCUCUUACUCUUCUCUAAAGAAGAACAACAAUCCCAAGUCAGUGUCUACAAUAAUGAGGAAAAUACAGAUUCUUGUUUCUCUAUUUCUCGUCAAGAGGCUGUGCAGUGGAUGCUUAAGGUCAAUGCCUAUUAUGGGUUCUCAGCUCUAACUGCAAUCUUGGCUGUUAACUAUCUAGACAGAUUCCUCUGCAGCUAUUAUUAUCAAAGAGACAAGCCAUG